rnacentral:rRNA from 1 species
GUGGCGAACGGGUGAGUAACACGUAGGGAACCUGCCUGCAUGAGCGGGAGAACUUCUGGAAACGGAAGCUGAUACCGGAUGAGCAAAGAGGAGGCAUCUUCUUUUUGGAAAAGGGGACAAGAGUCCCGCAUGCAGAUGGACCUGCGGUGCAUUAGCUGGUUGGAGAGGUAACGGCUCACCAAGGCGACGAUGCAUAGCCGGCCUGAGAGGGCGGACGGCCACACUGGGACUGAGACACGGCCCAGACUCCUGCGGGAGGCAGCAGUAGGGAAUUUUCGUCAAUGGGGGGAACCCUGAACGAGCAAUGCCGCGUGAGCGAGGAAGGUCUUCGGAUCGUAAAGCUCUGUUGCCGGGGACAAAAGGCAGAAAGAGUGGAAAGCUUUCUGAGUGAUGGUACCCGGCGAGGAAGUCACGGCUAACUACGUGCCAGCAGCCGCGGUAAUACGUAGGUGGCGAGCGUUAUCCGGAAUGAUUGGGCGUAAAGGGUGCGCAGGCGGCCGGGCAAGUCCGCAGUAAAAACUGGAGGCUCAACCUUCAGGGGCUGCGGAAACUGUCCGGCUGGAGAGCAGGAGAGGACGGUGGAACUCCAUGUGUAGCGGUAAAAUGCGUAGAUAUAUGGAAGAACACCGGUGGCGAAGGCGGCCGUCUGGCCUGCAUCUGACGCUGAGGCACGAAAGCGUGGGGAGCAAAUAGGAUUAGAUACCCUAGUAGUCCACGCUGUAAACGAUGAGGACCAAGUGUUGGAGGUAAAACUUCAGUGCUGCAGUCAACGCAGUGAGUCCUCCGCCUGGGGAGUAUGCACGCAAGUGUGAAACUCAAAGGAAUUGACGGGGGCCCGCACAAGCGGUGGAGUAUGUGGUUUAAUUC